rnacentral:rRNA from 7 species
GUCAAAGCGUUCAUUAAAGUCGAGUUGGCUUAGGGAUACGUUCGUUGGGUAGGGGAGCGUUCUGUAAGCCUGUGAAGGUGUGUCGUGAGGCAUGCUGGAGGUAUCAGAAGUGCGAAUGCUGACAUAAGUAACGAUAAAGCGGGUGAAAAGCCCGCUCGCCGGAAGACCAAGGGUUCCUGUCCAACGUUAAUCGGGGCAGGGUGAGUCGACCCCUAAGGCGAGGCCGAAAGGCGUAGUCGAUGGGAAACGGGUUAAUAUUCCCGUACUUGGUGUUACUGCGAAGGGGGGACGGAGAAGGCUAUGUUGGCCGGGCGACGGUUGUCCCGGUUUAAGCGUGUAGGUGUGUGUUCCAGGUAAAUCCGGUU